CGAAGGUAGCGUAAUCACUUGUCCUUUAAAUAAGGACUAGUAUGAAUGGCACCACGAGGGUUAUACUGUCUCCUUUUUCCAAUCAGUAAACCUAAUCUCCCCGUGAAGAAGCGGGGAUAAAACUAUAAGACGAGAAGACCCUAUGGAGCUUUAAACUAAGUAACAACUGCUUAUUCAUCACACAUUUCAGUAAUGCUAAUAAUUAUUCUAGCCACAUGUUUACUGGUUUUAGGUUGGGGUGACCACGGAGUAUAAAACAACCUCCAUAUUGAAUGGAAUUUAAUUCCUGAGUUAAGGGUUACAGCCCUAAACACCUACAAAUUGACAUUAAUUGACCCAAUAUUUUGACCAACGAACCAAGUUACCCUAGGGAUAACAGCGCAAUCCGCUUAAAGAGCUCCUAUCGACAAGCGGGUUUACGACCUCGAUGUUGGAUCAGGGUGUCCCAGUGGUGCAGCCGCUACUAAAGGUUCGUUUGUUCAACGAUUAAAAC
rnacentral:rRNA from 1 species